rnacentral:rRNA from 1 species
CAAGACUCCUACGGGAGGCAGCAGUAGGGAAUCUUUCACAAUGGGCGAAAGCCUGAUGGAGCAACGCCGCGUGAAGGAAGAAGGCUUUCGGGUUGUAAACUUCUUUUAAGAGGGACGAAACAAAUGACGGUACCUCUUGAAUAAGCUCCGGCUAACUACGUGCCAGCAGCCGCGGUAAUACGUAGGGAGCGAGCGUUAUCCGGAUUUACUGGGUGUAAAGGGCGUGUAUGCGGGAUGGCAAGUCAGGCGUGAAAACUAUGGGCUCAACCCAUAGCCUGCGUUUGAAACUGUCGUUCUUGAGUGAUGGAGAGGCAAGCGGAAUUCCGUGUGUAGCGGUGAAAUGCGUAGAUAUACGGAGGAACACCAGUGGCGAAGGCGGCUUGCUGGACAUUAACUGACGCUGAGGCGCGAAAGCGUGGGGAGCAAACAGGAUUAGAUACCCCCGUACU